AUGGAUUGGAACCCACAAAUCUUAUGUUGGAACGUGAGGGGUCUUAAUAACCCCGCCAAAAGAAAUGCUGUUAGAGAAUUUGUGGUCGCGGCCAAGGUGAAUCUUGUAUGCCUUCAAGAAACUAAGCUUGAAGCUUUCGAUCCGUACCUGGUAAUGCAAUGCAUCAGGCCAUCUUUCGAUGGUUUUGCUUACUUGCCCGCUUCGGAUACUAGAGGGGGCAUUCUUUUGGGUUGGGAUAGCUCGUUCUUGGAGAUCAAUAACAUCACUCGGGACACUAACUUCCUUUCGGAUCUGGUGCGUAACAAGGAUGGUUCUGAAUGA
rnacentral:rRNA from 1 species